GGCUCAGAGUAACUCCGUUAUAAGGCGGGCUUUUUUCGGAAAGCCCCGGUGGCCGAAAGGGAAGAAGGUUAAAAUUCCUUCACCUGGACGUGGAUAACGAGUGGUAACACAAGCAAAACUGGAGACGUCGGCUGGAGUCCCGGGAAGAGUUCUCUUUUCUUGUUAACAGUUCCGCAGGCCCUGGAAUCGGAUUAUCCGG
rnacentral:rRNA from 1 species